rnacentral:rRNA from 1 species
UCCAGUAGCGUAUAUUAAUGCUGCUGCAGUUAAAAAGCUCGUAGUUGGAUCUAGGGUUCGGGCUGAGGGUCCGUCGCAAGGCGUGCACUCUCCGCUUGGCCUCCCUCGCGGUUUCCGCCCGGUUCUCUUAACUGAGUGCCGGGUGAGACCGGAACGUUUACUUUGAAAAAAUUGGAGUGUUCAAAGCAGGCGAUACAGCCUGAACAGUAGAGCAUGGAAUAAUGGAAUAGGACCUCGGUUCUAUUGCGUUGGUUUUCGGAGUCCGAGGUAAUGAUUGAGAGGGACUGACGGGGGCAUUCGUAUUGCGGUGUGAGAGGUGAAAUUCUUGGAUCGCCGCAAGACGACCGACAGCGAAAGCAUUUGCCAAGAAUGUCUUCAUUAAUCAAGAACGAAAGUUAGAGGUUCGAAGGCGAUCAGAUACCGCCCUAGUUCUAACCAUAAACGAUGCCGACCGGCGAUUCGCCGGUAGUUACUCCAAUGACACGGCUGGCAGCUUCCGGGAAACCAAAGUUUUUGGGUUCCGGGGGAAGUAUGGUUGCAAAGCUGAAACUUAAAGGAAUUGACGGAAG